rnacentral:rRNA from 1 species
CUCUUCGGAGGCCGAGUAGCGUGGCGAACGGGUGAGUAACACGUGCCUAACCUGCCCAUCUGUGGGGGAUAACCUGGGGAAACUCGGGAUAAUCCCGCAUACGCCUGCCAGGCCGCAUGGCCUGGUAGGGAAAGGUGGCCUCUGCUUGCAAGCUGCCGCAGAUGGAGGGGGGCGCGGCCCAUCAGCUAGUUGGUGAGGUAAUGGCUCACCAAGGCGACGACGGGUAGCCGGCCUGAGAGGGUGGUCGGCCACACUGGGACUGAGACACGGCCCAGACUCCUACGGGAGGCAGCAGCGGGGAAUAUUCGGCAAUGGGCGAAAGCCUGACCGAGCGACGCCGCGUGGAGGAUGAAGGCCCGCAAGGGUCGUAAACUCCUGUCGGGAAGGAAGAAGGGACAGAGGGUUAAGAGCCCUUUGUCUUGACGGUACUUCCAGAGGAAGCCCCGGCUAACUCCGUGCCAGCAGCCGCGG